rnacentral:rRNA from 1 species
AGAGUUUGAUCCUGGCUCAGGAUGAACGCUAGCGGCAGGCCUAAUACAUGCAAGACGAACGGUAAUUCAAAUAGCAAUAUUUGGACAAGAGUGUCGUAAGGGUGCGUAACACGUAUGCAAUCUGCCCUCAACAGGAGGAUAGCUCGGGGAAACUCGGAUUAACCCUCCAUAAGAUUGUGGUGUGGCAUCACACAGCAAUUAAAACUAAGGUGGUUGAGGAUGAGCAUGCGCAUGAUUAGCUAGUUGGCGGGGUAAAGGCCCACCAAGGCGAUGAUCAUUAGGGGAACUGAGAGGUUGAUCCCCCACACUGGCACUGAGAUACGGGCCAGACUCCUACGGGAGGCAGCAGUAGGGAAUAUUGGACAAUGGGUGGAAGCCUGAUCCAGCCAUGCCGCGUGCAGGAAGAAGGCCUUCUGGGUUGUAAACUGCUUUUGCCAGGGGAUAAAAAGUCCCUGCGGGGAAAAUUGAAGGUACCUGGUGAAUAAGCCACGGCUAACUACGUGCCAGCAGCCGCGGUAAUACGUAGGUGGCAAGCGUUGUCCGGAUUUAUUGGGUUUAAAGGGUGCGUAGGCGGUUUCUUAAGUCAGUGGUGAAAUACGGCAGCUCAACUGUCGAGGUGCCAUUGAUACUGGGAAACUUGAGUACUGAUGAGGUAGGCGGAAUGGACGGUGUAGCGGUGAAAUGCUUAGAUAUCGUCAAGAACACCUAUAGCGAAGGCAGCUUACUAAGCUGUAACUGACGCUGAGGCACGAAAGUGUGGGGAUCAAACAGGAUUAGAUACCCUGGUAGUCC